CGCGUAGGCGGCCACGCGUGUCUUUCGUGAAAUCCCUCGGCUUAACUGAGGACGUGCGGAAGAAACUGCGAGGCUUGAGUCCGGGAGAGGGGGGUGGAAUUCCCAGUGUAGCGGUGAAAUGCGUAGAUAUUGGGAGGAACACCGGUGGCGAAGGCGGCCCCCUGGACCGGUACUGACGCUGAGGCGCGAAAGCGUGGGUAGCAAACG
rnacentral:rRNA from 1 species